rnacentral:rRNA from 1 species
UGGGGAAUUUUGGACAAUGGGGGAAACCCUGAUCCAGCCAUCCCGCGUGUGCGAUGAAGGCCUUCGGGUUGUAAAGCACUUUUGGCAGGAAAGAAACGUCAUGGGUUAAUACCCCGUGAAACUGACGGUACCUGCAGAAUAAGCACCGGCUAACUACGUGCCAGCAGCCGCGGUAAUACGUAGGGUGCAAGCGUUAAUCGGAAUUACUGGGCGUAAAGCGUGCGCAGGCGGUUCGGAAAGAAAGAUGUGAAAUCCCAGAGCUCAACUUUGGAACUGCAUUUAUAACUAACGGGCUAGAGUGUGUCAGAGGGCGGUGGUAUUCCGCGUGUAGCAGUAAAAUGCGUAGAUAUGCGGAGGAACACCGAUGGCGAAGGCAGCCUCCUGGGAUAACACUGACGCUCAUGCACGAAAGCGUGGGGAGCAAACAGG